CUACGGGCGGCUGCAGUGAGGAAUAUUGCACAAUGGGGGGAACCCUGAUGCAGCAACGCCGCGUGGAGGAUGACGCAUUUCGGUGUGUAAACUCCUUUUAUAUGUCAAGAAAAUGACGGUAGCAUAUGAAUAAGCGCCGGCUAACUCCGUGCCAGCAACCGCGGUAAUACGGAGGGCGCAAGCGUUACUCGGAAUCACUGGGCGUAAAGGACGCGUAGGCGGGUUGAAAAGUCAGGUGUGAAAGCCUACAGCUUAACUGUAGAACUGCACUUGAAACUCUCAAUCUAGAGUAUGGGAGGGGCAGAUGGAAUUAGUGGUGUAGGGGUAAAAUCCGUAGAUAUCACUAGGAAUACCUAAAGCGAAGGCGAUCUGCUGGAACAUUACUGACGCUAAGGCGUGAAAGCGUGGGGAGCAAACAGGAUUAGAUACCCUGGUAGUC
rnacentral:rRNA from 1 species